AUCAGUUUGGCUUCAUCAGAUAGCACCUAUUUCCCUGUACACUGGGGAAAUAGGCUUACUCUUAAUGACUUACAUUAGCUCAUUAUUGACUUAAUUAGAUCAAUGUAACAGCUUCUCCCAGCUAUUUGGUGCUUGUGCUUCAGACUGGGCUAGACAACCUGCAGACAAACAAGCCCUCCAGGACCAGGACUGAACACUAGACACCUUCAUGUCACUCUGGAAUUUUAAUUUUUGCAAAAUAAUUGAACUGAAAGCAGAACUGAAAACUGGUGUUUACAGUUUUUUUGUCAUAUGUAUUUUCACCCCAUAAAAUUGAAAUUAUUAUUUUUUUGUUUGUGAGCUAAGCUUUAGGUAACAUUUGGAGAAAUGGUAUAGACCUAACCGCAAGAAGAUACGGGACUUUACUUAGAACUAACAGUAGUGAAUACGAGUCUAAAACUGGAAAAUGGUAUAGAACUAAAAAUCAGUAGAUGCAGUUCUAUAACGAGUGAUAACACUCUCAAAAAGCACCCCUGUCAGAAUGUUUUUGACUGUUGUGGAGUGUUAUUUAGUGACACCCAAUAAAGGAAAAUUGAUGCCUCAUUCUACUGUAAGGCUUAGCAAGUGUUAUUUUCACACCUCAAAUUUUGAUUACACCUUUUCUGUGUCUCAGUCCCUGUUAUCAGUACAGCCUGGCUUUAUAACCAAGCGCUCGUCUGCUUUUGUUGCCCUUGCAAAGCUUGCUUGUUAUAGCAAGGCAGCGUUUGACCUCUAAUCUUGGCGCAUGACCUUGAGUUAUAGAAGUGCAGCUGGUCCAUCUGUUUCACAUUUCAGCUCCUGACAGGUGGCCACCACCAGCCGACUGAAUUCUCACCCUCCCUCUGUCUUCGCAAAAGGAGCUUUUUUGUUUUAAGGCACCUUCUUCUUUUAUAUUUAUUCCAUUUUAUUUUACCUGACGUCACCUUUAACAGUAGCAUCUGACAUUCAGACUUCAUCUUGGUGUCUUGGUGACAGAAGCCUGUUAAUCAAUUUUUCCAAUGUACACUGUCUCAGAGGGUUGUAGAAUGUCUUGUGUUAUUAUUAAUAAUAAUAUACAGUAGCCCUUUGGCUAGUGCUUCUUUGCUUUUCAAAAGCCUUAAAAGUGGUUUAAUAAGGAACAUCAAAUAAAAAAUUUAAUUAAAACGUCACUGGUGGCAUUCUGCAUAAGAGGGGUGAUACUACUGUUGCUAAUGAAGGUAGGAAUGCAGCAAUGUUCCUGUUCAAUACCCCGAAAGAGCCUUAGCUGUCAUCGCUCACGUGAUGUUGUUUUUGUGAGGUGGGUGCCUGUAUGACCAGCUGUUCAUGUUUUUGUACUUCCUGCUGAUGGAGCUCAUCAGAGAGGAAGCACUGGACCACUGGACCACACAGCUGCUCAGCAGGAAGGGCAGGAGCGUCAGGCCAUUCUUUACACCUUUGCUGAAAGAGAAGAUUGAGUGAAACAGCUCUUCUUCCUCCGCACAGAAGACUCUUUCAUAACAGAGAACGUGUUUCUGAUCCAGGAGGGGACAGCAGUCUCAAGACCUCACAAGAAGCACAGCCUCACUAGUCUGUCAUCAGAAAUAUGCACAGAGAGCACAGGACAAACAGAGAAGGCCACAGCUAGCGGGCUAUGGGAGAGACCAGAGCUCAACCAGACCAAGAAGGAAGACCAACUUAAACCACAGAGUUCGGUGCUCAGUUUCCUCAUGCUCUUCAGAAGAGGGAGUCUCUGAGGGUGACAUCAUCACAGCCUCAGAAAGGCAUUAAAGUUAAAGACGGUUUUCAUGACUGAAACAAGGAAUGUCAGGUGGACCUCACACAGAGCAUGGCCAAAACCUCAGACAACUUCUGACUGUGCAGAGAGGCUGGCAAGCACUUUGGGGAAAUGAGGAAUUUUUCUAAGCUUCCUCGUCAAAUUACCCGCAAGCUGAUGAGUACAUUUUUGUUCUUCCACUACCUUCUAUUGCGGACAUUUACGAAAAACUGCCUUCUUCAAGAAAAGAGCUGAAUCCCUUUUGAAGAAAAAAGAUUUUGCCCAUGAUUUUUUAAAAAAUGAUGCUUGCUUAUCAGGUUUGAAUGGGGCUGCUGACGUGCAUUUCGAAAGUUGAUUAAUGCCAGCUGGAAGCCACCCAUAAGACCACAGAAGCAUGGGCAGGAAAUUGGACACCCUGCAUAAUGGCAGUCUGAGGUCCCCAAGGCCUAAUUUGUCAGCCUGCAUGGCGAUCUCUUUCGGAAACGUGAGAUUAUAGGUCUAAAUAAAAAUAAAAACAAGUCACAGUCUAACAUGAUAACCCAAACGAUAACAUGCCAGCUAAUUAUUGGGAGUGAAGUUCCAGACAGCUAAAAAACAAACAAAGAAGGCCAUUCAUUCGAUCCGACCCAGAAGCAGAAGGUUUUCUUCUUUCUUUUUUAAAGACAAAGGUGACUCAAUCUAAAGAGGAAAUAUCGACAACGACAUAUGUAUGAAUGUACAUAGAAAGAAAAGCAAACUGAAAAAAAUGAGUUAUGAAAUGGGGACCUGUUUUCCAAAGGAUUCACACUGUGGAUUCCUGCUCUGCUAACAAAGCCCAUAUUGACUCUACAGUGCUCUGCAGUGUACCUUACAGUGAAAGAAAGGUGGCUUCAGGACAUUACUUUAAACGCUGACGUCGAAAGUGUUGGAUCGAGAGCAAUUAGGUCUUUUUUGUUUGAGACCUCACAGACAGAAGGGCUGGCGGAUGUUGUCUAAAGAGUCACCCACCAAGAUCAGAGAGUCUUCGCACGGACCCUUGUUUAUUCAACUGUAGCUUGUCUUCCUGGGUUCAACCAGACCCUCCUCAGCAUUAUGGGGCAGCCAGGAGGUGGGGAUACCACCACGAACAGCACAGCUGGCUGGCAGGUAGCAAACUCCCUGAGGGCAGCCAGAGUCCACAAAGAGCCAGACAAACACAAUGCUGUAGGGCCUGCCAGGAAAACAGUUUAACGGGUCGCUCAUUAUUCAAAAACAAACACAUCACUUCUUUGUCUCAGUGGCCAAGCAAAAGAGACUUGACAUUAUUUAGAUAACCAGCAGGAUGAGUGAUCAAGUCUUGAUUAAGUCACAUAGGUACAUCUAAAACCUAGGAGAUUUAAUCUAGAAGAAUGUGAUCUCCUCCGAUUCUUGAAAUAAUUGCACAUUCGUAGGAGGGCCAUUGGCAAAAACAUCAUGCAAUAGUUUAUGAAAGACAAAUAGUAAAUUAAACCAUAUUGAGUAAUAGUAUUAUAUGAUAAAACAACACGACUAUUGUUAAACUGUAACUCCGGUUUUCCAAUCGUCUUCUGUCGUGUGAGGACAGAAUGUUGCUUCCAAAUUCAGGUCCUGUCUUGUGACCAUUCUCCCUUGGUUCAUUAUUAUGCCAAUCUGGCCUGACCACAAACAGUCUGGACUGAAGCCACUCAAGAGAGUUAUGGGAACUAUUAACCAACAGAAGCUUGCAGAGAGCCAAGCAAAGUGUAAAACACUCACAAGUCUGAUGCACACGUUUACCUGGCACAAAAGCACUGUCUGUGCCACCAAAAUUACACAUUUAUUACACAUUUAGUGGUGGCAGCAACUCUUCCCAUUUCUUUGUACAGUUCAAACUUUUCAAAACAUCUGUUCCAUUCCUCACAAGUGCUAGGUGCUUCUUUUUCUCUUGCAUUUUUAUUUUGCAUGCCUUCUCAUAAUCAGAUUAUGCUUUGCAUUACAUGUAUGGCUAUUGUUCUACACAAUAAAUCAUUUUGAAGAUUUCAAAAACACAAAAGGCGGUAAAAAAAUAUGUAUUCAUUAGGAAAUAUUCUCGACAAAAUUGGCUCAACAGAUGAAAUGAAGUCAAACUAUAAGAACUCUAAAUACAUAUACCAUGCAUACUUUUAGUACAACAUGGGUUGUGAAGCUUCUAGACAAAGAAUGUUUUGUUGAAUUUUUAAUACCUGUAAUGAUACAUUGCUUAAACUUUUUUCAUUAUCUAUUGUUUUAUGUAUGUAAUUUAGGCUACUUAGUGUAUUUACUAAAAAUUGAACACAUUUAUUGUUAAUCUUAGCUAAAGCCUAGGAAAACCUUCACCACCUGUUAUCCUCCGAUGAGUCAGUCUCUGCCAGUCCAGUCCCUAAUGCUCAUAGUAGACACAUCUGCUCAGCGUUAUAAAGUUAGUAACCGAUUUAUAAAUGUGUGCCUUAGAGUUCUCUGGCUGUGGUGCUGAACAGAAGGUUUUGCUCGGUGACUGUCGGCUACACUCUUCAUAGCUUUUCUUCUUCAGUUCUCAGUGCCAUACUGUCUCUUAUAUGCUUUCCAGAUGCAAUAGAGAAGUAUUAGCCUCAAAAUUACUACAAUUUGCUUAGGUCUUUCCUCUUUGGUGACUCUGAACUAAAGACCAUAAGACCUAAAGAAUGAACUAAAGUGUGGAAUAGCUUGUUUCCUCUUGGGGACAUCCUUUUUCGAGCUCUGCUGGCUUGGAGGAUUGUUCUCGGCUCACAUAAGAAAAGGGAAUAGGCAAUAGGGAGUGUCCGGUGGGUCUUAUGAUUCACAGUAGGCAGGAUCAUGUCCCAAUAAAAAAGAGAACAUUCACAGAUUCUCUUGUUCAGAUUUUGCACUCUGACCUAGAAGGGUGAAACUACCAAGAGAGGUUUAUUUGACUGCCUGUGCCACUCAUCUCCGUCCUAUUCUGAUAGAGCUAUAUUUUUUAGUUAAAAAAAGAGAAUGGCCUUCAGUUAACAAAGUAAGCUGUUAUCGUUGUACUGUAGGUCAUUUGCGAAACAUUUAAAAUACC